UUUUAUAUAGUUUAAAUAAAACAUUAUAUUUUCAAUAUAAAAUUAUAGUAAUUAUUAUAAAAU
rnacentral:tRNA from 1 species